GACAGAGGGGGCAAGCGUUGCUCGGAAUUACUGGGCGUAAAGGGCGCGUAGGCGGCCGACCAAGUCGGAGGUGAAAUCCCUCGGCUCAACUGAGGAACUGCCUCCGAUACUGGCCGGCUUGAGUCCCGGAGAGGGUAGUGGAAUUCCGAGUGUAGCGGUGAAAUGCGUAGAGACUCGGAAGAACACCAGUGGCGAAGGCGGCUACCUGGACGGGUACUGACGCUGCAGCGCGAAAGCUAGGGGAGCAAACAGGG
rnacentral:rRNA from 1 species